rnacentral:lncRNA from 1 species
CUCAAAUCAACAUCUAAAUUCAGCAUUAGUACACCCUCUCUUAUUAUAUUCUAGCUUCUCUAGGCCUAUCUCAACUAUUUUCAUCCCUACACUCAUCAUCAUGCAUUCACACAUGCAAAUCAGCCAACUCUAAGUUCAUUAAGCAUAGCAUCAAGUGAAUUCUUGCAAAUGGUCAAUUGGUCCAAAUCAUUUGGGUAAGGAGAUGCUUUUUAAUCAAGUGAGUCAAGGGGUUCAAGAUAUAUGAUAUUUAAGGUGGUAUACUCUCAGGACAAGUAGCCUUGACAUUGCACAUAAUAUAUCUAAGAAAGGGAUCAACUCAUGCAUACAAUGCUCAAUCCCCAUUGUUCUACCCUUUUCCCAAACAUAUAUGAUACACAUUCAUUUCCUCAUUCCAAACUCAGCUC